rnacentral:rRNA from 1 species
AUUCCAGCUCCAAUAGCGUAUAUUAAAGUUGUUGCAGUUAAAAAGCUCGUAGUUGGACUUCUGAUUCGAAAGAUCGGUCCGCCGCAAGGCGAGCACUGAUUCUUCGAGUCUUCCUCUCGUAGUUGUUUGGCGCACUUGAUUGGGUGCCAGAUGAAUAUGGGACCUUUACUUUGAAAAAAUUAGAGUGUUCAAAGCAGGCAAUCGCUUGAAUACAUUAGCAUGGAAUAAUAGAAUAGGACUUUGGUUCUAUUUUGUUGGUUUCUAGGACCGAAGUAAUGAUUAAUAGGGACAGUUGGGGGCAUUAGUAUUUAAUUGUCAGAGGUGAAAUUCUUGGAUUUAUGAAAGACUAACUACUGCGAAAGCAUUUGCCAAGGAUGUUUUCAUCA